rnacentral:rRNA from 1 species
AGCGAACGCUGGCGGCAGGCCUAACACAUGCAAGUCGAACGAAGUCUUCGGACUUAGUGGCGGACGGGUGAGUAACACGUGGGAACGUGCCUUUAGGUUCGGAAUAACUCAGGGAAACUUGUGCUAAUACCGAACGUGCCCUUCGGGGGAAAGAUUUAUCGCCUUUAGAGCGGCCCGCGUCUGAUUAGCUAGUUGGUGGGGUAAUGGCCCACCAAGGCUACGAUCAGUAGCUGGUCUGAGAGGAUGACCAGCCACAUUGGGACUGAGACACGGCCCAAACUCCUACGGGAGGCAGCAGUGGGGAAUCUUGCGCAAUGGGCGAAAGCCUGACGCAGCCAUGCCGCGUGGAUGAUGAAGGUCUUAGGAUUGUAAAAUCCUUUCACCGGUGAAGAUAAUGUCUGUAGCCGGAGAAGAAGCCCCGGCUAACUUCGUGCCAGCCGCCGCCGUAAGAC